rnacentral:rRNA from 1 species
ACCGGAGCUAAUACCGGAUAGUUCCUUGAACCGCAUGGUUCAAGGAUGAAAGACGGUUUCGGCUGUCACUUACAGAUGGACCCGCGGCGCAUUAGCUAGUUGGUGAGGUAACGGCUCACCAAGGCGACGAUGCGUAGCCGACCUGAGAGGGUGAUCGGCCACACUGGGACUGAGACACGGCCCAGACUCCUACGGGAGGCAGCAGUAGGGAAUCUUCCGCAAUGGACGAAAGUCUGACGGAGCAACGCCGCGUGAGUGAUGAAGGUUUUCGGAUCGUAAAGCUCUGUUGUUAGGGAAGAACAAGUGCAAGAGUAACUGCUUGCACCUUGACGGUACCUAACCAGAAAGCCACGGCUAACUACGUGCCAGCAGCCGCGGUAAUACGUAGGUGGCAAGCGUUGUCCGGAAUUAUUGGGCGUAAAGGGCUCGCAGGCGGUUUCUUAAGUCUGAUGUGAAAGCCCCCGGCUCAACCGGGGAGGGUCAUUGGAAACUGGGAAACUUGAGUGCAGAAGAGGAGAGUGGAAUUCCACGUGUAGCGGUGAAAUGCGUAGAGAUGUGGA